GGGCGCUGCCCAACAGCAGUCGGUUGGCCGUCGCUGACAAGUACAGAUACAAAGAGACGACGACCACGCGUUCUUCCGUUUCAUCCAACAUCAAACAGUACACGAUUCCCUUUUUUGAAUCAAAUCCGACGCGUUCAUCGUAAACGUAAUUAAAACGGUCGUAAGCAGAUGCCCACGAACCCCGUAAAAACACCCUCGAACUGCAUUUACCGUAUUAACGAGUAUAACUCGUACAGAUACAAGUUUUAAUCGUGAGCCGGGAGUGCCGCAAAAACUAUGGCGGACGACAACGCCAAGGAUCGUUAUGAUCCAGAACUGAAAUACCUGUGUGUCGAUAGGAACCUGUACAACGACCCCGCAUCGCAAGCCGAAUGGACCCAAAAGAGACUCGUAUGGGUGCCCCACGAAAGCCAGGGUUUCGUCGCGGCGAGCAUCAAGGGCGAACGUGGAGACGAGGUCGAAGUGGAACUCCAAGAGUCUGGAAAAAGGACCUUUGUCGCUCGCGAUGAUAUCCAAAAAAUGAACCCCCCGAAGUUUGACAAGGUCGAGGACAUGGCGGACCUCACCUGCCUCAACGAAGCCUGCGUCCUACACAAUCUUAAAGAUAGAUACUAUUCCGGAUUAAUCUAUACAUAUUCAGGCCUAUUUUGCGUGGUAGUAAACCCGUAUAAGAAAUUACCGAUUUAUACGGAGAAAAUAAUGGAAAGGUACAAAGGAAUAAAGAGACAUGAAGUUCCCCCGCACGUUUUCGCAAUAACCGACACGGCCUAUCGUUCAAUGUUACAAGAAAGAGAAGAUCAAUCAAUUUUGUGUACGGGUGAAUCAGGUGCUGGCAAAACAGAGAAUACGAAGAAAGUUAUUCAGUAUUUAGCGUACGUAGCGGCUUCGAAAUCACCCAAAGGAUCAGGAGCGAAAGAUCUUAUUAGUCCCACGAGAGAAUUCUCGGGUGGUCUUGAGCAACAACUAUUACAAGCCAAUCCAAUUCUCGAAGCGUUUGGAAAUGCUAAAACUGUCAAAAAUGAUAAUUCAUCUAGAUUUGGUAAAUUUAUUCGUAUUAAUUUCGAUGCGUCUGGAUACAUCGCCGGGGCGAAUAUCGAAACGUAUUUAUUAGAAAAAUCUCGUGCCAUAAGACAAGCCAAACAUGAAAGGACUUUCCAUAUAUUUUAUCAACUCCUAGCUGGAGCUAGUGCUGAACAAAAAAAGGAAUUUAUUUUAGAAGAGCCAAAAACCUAUCCAUUCCUUCGCGAAGACAACCAUUUGGUGCCAGGAGUGGACGAUUCCGCCGAAUUUCAAGCAACAGUUCGCAGCAUGGACAUAAUGGGAAUGACGAAAGAAGAUUUUAGCGCAAUUUUCCGCAUAAUAUCCGCCGUGAUGUUAUUCGGAACGAUGCAAUUCAAGCAAGACAGAAAUUCGGACCAAGCAACACUUCCAGAAAACACGGUAGCCCAAAAAAUCGCCCACUUACUCGGAUUAUCCGUCACGGAAAUGACAAAAGCCUUCCUAAAACCCCGCCUGAAAGUCGGCAGAGAUUUCGUUACAAGAACCCAAACGAAAGAACAAGUCGAAUUCGCCGUUGAGGCCAUCUCAAAAGCUUGUUACGAGAGGAUGUUUCGCUGGCUUGUUACGCGAAUUAAUCGGAGUUUAGGAAGAACUAAGAGACAAGGGGCGAGUUUUAUCGGGAUUUUGGAUAUUGCUGGAUUCGAAAUUUUCGAUUUAAACUCGUUUGAGCAGCUUUGUAUUAAUUACACCAACGAGAAGUUGCAACAACUUUUUAACCACACCAUGUUUAUUCUCGAACAAGAAGAAUAUCAACGCGAAGGAAUCGAAUGGAAAUUUAUCGAUUUCGGGUUAGAUUUACAACCAACGAUCGAUUUAAUCGACAAACCGAUGGGGAUUAUGGCUUUAUUGGACGAGGAGUGCCUCUUCCCGAAAGCCACCGAUAAAACGUUCGUUGACAAAUUAGUUUCGGCACAUUCGGCUCACCCCAAAUUUAAGAAAAGCGAUUUUAGAGGGGUCGCCGAUUUCUCGAUUAUUCAUUACGCGGGGAAAGUCGAUUAUUCCGCGGAUCAGUGGUUAAUGAAGAAUAUGGACCCUCAAAACGAAAAUGUUGUUUCGUUGUUGCAAAAUUCGCAGGAUCCUUUUGUGGUGCAUAUUUGGAAGGAUGCUGAGUCGAUUGGGAGGGCGAAAGGGAUGUUUAGGACUGUCUCUUAUCUUUAUAAGGAGCAAUUAGCGAAUUUGAUGGUGACUUUGAGGAAUACUAACCCGAAUUUCGUGAGAUGUAUUAUUCCUAAUCAUGAGAAACGCGCGGGAAAAAUUGAUGCGCCGCUCGUUUUGGAUCAAUUGAGAUGUAACGGGGUUUUGGAGGGAAUUAGGAUUUGUCGCCAAGGCUUUCCUAAUCGAAUCCCCUUCCAAGAGUUCCGCCAACGCUACGAGCUUUUAACCCCGAAUGUUAUUAACAAAGGCUUUAUGGAUGGAAAGAAAGCUUGCGAGACGAUGAUUAAGAGUUUAGAGUUGGAUAAUAACCUCUAUAGGAUUGGGCAAUCGAAGAUUUUCUUCAGAGCUGGGGUUUUGGCCCAUUUGGAGGAGGAGCGCGAUUAUAAAAUAACCGAUUUGAUCGUUAACUUCCAGGCUUUUUGCCGCGGAUUUUUGUCGAGGAGGAAUUACCAAAAGCGCGUUCAACAACUAAACGCGAUAAGAAUCAUUCAGAGGAAUUGCUCAGCUUAUCUUAAAUUGAGAAAUUGGCAGUGGUGGAGGUUAUACACCAAGGUUAAGCCCCUCCUUGAAGUUACAAAGCAAGAGGAGAAGUUGAUGCAAAAAGAGGAUGAGCUAAAACAGGUUAAAGAUAAAUUGGAGGUCCAUUUAAAGACGGCCCAAGAGUUUGAGAGAAAAUAUCAAUCCGCGAUUGAUGAAAAAACCGCUUUGGCUGAGCAACUCCAAGCUGAAGUUGAGUUAUGCGCGGAAGCUGAGGAAAUGAGGGCGAGAUUAACGGCGAGGAAGCAAGAACUAGAAGAGAUUUUGCAUGAUUUAGAAGCGCGAGUUGAGGAGGAGGAAGAACGCGCGAGCAACUUAAGUAACGAUAAGAAGAAGCUUCAAAUGACCAUUCAAGACUUAGAGGAGCAAUUGGAGGAGGAGGAAGCGGCCCGGCAAAAGCUCCAACUCGAAAAGGUCCAAUGCGAUGGGAAAUUAAAAAAAUUAGAGGAAGAUAUAGCUUUAAGCGAGGAUACAAAUCAAAAAUUAUUAAAAGAAAAGAAAAUCCUCGAGGAGCGCUCCAACGAUUUAAGCCAAACCUUAGCGGAGGAGGAGGAAAAAGCGAAACACCUCGCGAAAUUAAAAGCAAAACACGAAGCAACAAUAGCAGAGCUCGAAGAGCGCUUAUUAAAAGACCACCAACAACGGCAAGAAUCAGAUCGCUCAAAGCGCAAAAUCGAAUCGGAAGUAAACGAUUUAAGGGAACAACUCUCUGAGAAGCGCAGCCAAUUAGAAGAAUUACAACUCCAAUUGGGUAAAAGGGAAGAAGAGCUCGCCCAAAGCCAAGUUAGAGUCGACGAAGAAGGCGCGCUUAGGGCCACGGCCCAAAAAGCGCUGCGAGAACUUGAAAGCCAACUAACCGAACUCCAAGAAGAUUUAGAAGCCGAAAAAGUCGCAAGAAAUAAAGCCGAAAAAAUGAAGCGCGACCUCAACGAAGAAUUAGAAGCCCUCAAAAACGAACUAUUAGACUCUUUAGACUCAACAGCAGCCCAACAAGAACUCAGAUCAAAACGCGAACAAGAAUUGGCAACGUUAAAAAAAACCCUCGAAGAAGAAACAUCAACCCACGAAGUCUCUUUAGCCGAAUUACGCCACAAACACACCCAAGAACUCUCCGUUAUUAAUGAACAAUUAGAAACUUUAAAAAAGGCUAAAGCUGGGUUGGAAAAGUCAAAACAAUCCCUCGAAGCCGACAACGCAGAUUUAGCCACCGAAUUACGCUCGAUCAGCUCGAGCAGACAAGAAAGUGAUCGCAGACGCAAACAAGCAGAGAGUCAAUUAACCGAGCUUCAAGCUAAACUCCAAGAAAUCGAGCGAACCAAAUCAGACUUACAAGAAAAAGCGGCCAAACUCCAACAAGAAGCCGAAAACAUCUCGCAACAACUCGAAGAGGCCGAAUUAAAAGCUUCAACGGCCGUUAAAAAUCAAACGACGCUUGAAUCGCAAUUCGCCGAGGUUCAAGGCGCCCUCGAAGAAGAAACCAAAUUAAAAUUGGCUUUAAGCUCGAAAUUGCGCCAAUUAGAAGCGGAUAAGGAAGCGCUCCGCGAUCAACUCGAAGAGGAAGAAGAGGCAAAACGGAAUUUGGAAAAGCAAUUAUCAGUUUUGAACGUCCAAUUAAUUGAGACUAAAAAGAAAGCGGAAGAUGAAGCGGAACAAGCGGCGAUUUUGGAGGAGAGCAAAAAGAAAAUGGCCAAAGACAUCGAAGCGUUACAAAGACAAGUCGAGGAAUUAACCGCGGCUAAUGAUAAAUUAGAAAAAAGUAAAAAGAAAAUUGCCGCGGAAUUGGAGGACUCCAACAUCGACUUGGAAACGCAAAGGGGAAAAGUCGUCGAGUUGGAGAAAAAACAGAAAAAUUUCGAUAAGAUUUUAGCCGAGGAGAAAGCCAUCUCCGAAAAAUUAGCCCAAGAUAGGGAUUCGGCGGAGAGGGAGGCGCGCGAAAAAGAAACGCGGGUCUUAUCGUUAAGCAGAGAACUCGACGAUUCCAACGAAAAAAUCGAGGAAUUAGAGCGAGUUCGACGCCAAUUACAAGCGGAACUCGACGAACUCGUCAACAAUCAAGGAACCGCCGAUAAAAACGUCCACGAACUCGAAAAGGCUAAGAGAUCCUUAGAGAGCCAAUUAGCCGAGCUAAAAUCGCAAAAUGAGGAGUUGGAGGAUGAAUUGCAAUUAACUGAGGAUGCUAAAUUACGUUUGGAGGUUAACAUGCAAGCUUUGCGUGCCCAAUUCGAACGUGAUAUUCAAGCGAAAGAGGAACAAGCGGAAGAAAAACGUCGAGGAAUUCUCAAACAACUCCGCGAUUUAGAAGCCGAAUUAGACGAAGAACGUAAACAAAGAAGUGCCGCUGUUGCUGCAAAGAAAAAGCUUGAAGGCGAUUUAAAAGAGAUCGAAGCUCAAGUUGAGUUACAAUGCAAAGUAAAAGAAGACGCUUUAAAACAACUUAAAAAAUCGCAACAACAAUGUAAAGAAGCGACUAGAGACGCUGAAGAAGCUCGCGCAGCCCGCGAUGAAUUAGCGGCUAGUUGUAAAGACGCUGAAAGAAAAGUUAAAGCUUUAGAGGCGGAAAUUUUGAGUGUUAGCGAAGAUUUUGCGAGCUCCGAACGUGCUAGGAGAGCCGUUGAAGCCGAAAGGGACGAAUUACAAGAAGAAAUUAAUAACAACGCGAAUAAAGGGACGUUAUUGAUCGACGAAAAGCGUCGCUUAGAAGCUAGGAUAGCCACGCUUGAAGAAGAAUUGGAAGAAGAACAAAGUAACAACGAAAUUUUAUUGGAUCGCGCGAGAAAGGCGCAAUUAUCAGUUGAUCAACUCACAACGGAAUUAGCAACGGAAAGAGCCGCUACCCAAAAAAUGGAUUCUAAUAGAUUACUUCUUGAGCGACAAAACAAGGAAUUAAAAGCUAAAUUAGCCGAAUUGGAAACAGCGCAACGUACGAAAACUAAAGCUACGAUUGCAGCGCUUGAAAGUAAAAUAGCUAACUUAGAGGAACAAUUAGAGAUUGAAGCGAAAGAAAGAUUUGGUCAACAAAAAACGAAUAGAAAGCUCGAUAAGAAACUUAAAGAACUCGUUUUGCAAUUGGAAGACGAAAGAAGACACGCGGAUCAAUACAAAGAGCAAGUUGAGAAGGCCAACGCGCGCGUUAAAGCUCUUAAACGGCAGUUGGAUGAGGCGGAAGAAGAGAUCAGUCGCGAAAAGGCCCAAAAGAGGAAGGCUCAAAGGGAAUACGAGGAUAUGUUGGAGUCGCACGAAUCGAUGACUCGCGAAAUAAGCAACUUAAAAAGCAAAUUAAGUGUAAAAUCAUGAUGUGAUACCCAGAGAUCCGAAUACAUAGUUAAAUACAUUUUUACGAAUAAGUAACGGAGAGGUGCUGCCGGUAUGGGUUUAUCAUCGACCAGAAUAAGUUCGUCGAAACGGGGAUCGAUCCAAACGAGCGGAAACGGUUCAGGGGAU
rnacentral:misc_RNA from 1 species